UUCCGUGUUUUAGUCAGAAAGUCAGCAAGGACACUAACGUUCUGCAUAUCCUGGUGUGUAUGCAAAAUAAGAGGCUCAGAGCAUACUAAUGACUGCCAGUUCACGCUGUCUGUGGAGGAUUACUAAGGAUUACAUACUUCAGUUUGACCAAGUCAGAAGACACUUAGGAUACAUUUUCAGGAUUGGAAAACGUAAGGCAUCAACUCAUGCUACGUGUCAGCUGGAAUAUCUGCUUUCUAAAGUUAAUGACUUCCUUUCUUCACAAGGGAUUGCAUGCUCAGGUAACGCACGUCAUCGAGACAAACCGUGCAUCUCCCAGGCUGUGCUGUGAAGCAGCGGGCAGAGGUGUGAGCAGCUCCAGCUGCAUGAAUGGAGAUGACUGGCA
rnacentral:lncRNA from 1 species